CACUGCAGCAUUAUUCACAACAGCCAAAACUUGGAAGCAACCUAGGUGCCCAUCAAGGGAGGAAUGGAUAAAGAAGAUGUGGUACGUAUACACAAUGGAAUACUACUCGGCCAUAAGAAAUGAUGAGACCCGGCCAUUUGUGACAACCUGGAUGGACCCUGAGGGUAUUAUGUGAAGUGAAAUAAAUCAGAGGGAGAAAGUCAAACACCGUGUGAUCUCACUCAUGAGCAGAAGAUAAAAACAAUCACAAACACACACAGAGCCACGGAGAUUGGAUUGCUGGUUACCAACAAAUACUAAACAAACCAAUAUAAACAACACAUAUUAAAUAAGCCUAACCCUACUACGCUACUGAAAAGGCUUUUAUUUCCCUGGGAUAAUUUUGACAGCAUUAGAUUGUUUUCCCAAGAGCAGCCAAGUCGAGGGAGAUGAUUUCUAAUUCCACAGUGCUACGGAUGCGGUCAGUAGCAACUGCAAGCUGGAAAGGAAACAAAGUCGGAGUGUAAUCCAUUCAAGUUCACACGUUUCACCAGGGACAGCCUCCGAGCCUUUAAUACUUAUGUAUGCAUUUAUCCAUUUAUUUAAUCAACCACUACUAACGCCUACUACAGGCCAGACGCUGCUCUAAGUACUUUACGGCUAUGAAAUAUCCUCUCACCUUUACACUCACCUAUGGAGUGUGUAUGAUAAUCAUCCCCGUUUGACAGAUCAGGAAACUGACACACAGAAUGGCUGUGAGGCCCAGUACGUCAAACACCCUGUCAGUCUUGCUCACCAAGUGUCCAGACCACUGAACAACGCACCGACCAGAGGAAAGGAAGGACUUGUCCCAAGGUCAGCUCUCCAGACUUUCUGUGGAAGGAGGGAACGAACGGAGCACCCUCGAGCCUCACGCUUUCUCUGCCAGACUUUCAAGUGUGGGACACAUACCUGUGCUCACAAUGCUCCCCGGACAGCCCCCACCGCACCCCUAACAGCUAGACUUCCGCACAGUCAAGGGCUUUGGAAAGCACUGGCUCUGCACACAAACGUUACGUGGCCCUCGACAGGCCACUUCCCCUGAACCGGCCUGAGCUUCAGGGGCACA
rnacentral:lncRNA from 1 species